ensembl:lncRNA
GUCACAAAUGGAGAUGCUUGAGAAAAUAGCUGAGCUGGAUUACAGUCAGAGCCAGCUGAAGGAUCUGAAUACUGAGAUGAGACGUUGGCUGGAGUUUGCGGACGAUGACAUGGCCGUGCUGCGCUCAGAGAAUUCAGCCCUCACAAAACAAGUUAAAGCGCUGGAGAAGAUGAUGGCUGAAGCACAACAGGUUGAAGCAGAGCCUUGCAGGUCUUUCAUGGCUGAUGACCUUGAUGCAAAUAGAUGCAGAGAAAACAAGAUUCAGAAAUUGGAGAAGGAAUCCAUCAUAAUGACAGAAGAAAAUAAGAUGCUAACUGCAGAGCUCAAAGACCUCCAGCAAAAAAGAGACCAGGACAAGAUCAGCUUAAGUAAGCUCAGCGUUGCACUUCAAAACUUUGAGGUAACACAGUGAAUUCUACUUGGAGUAGUUUAAUUAUUUCUGUCUCUCCAGUCAUCUACCAGUGUUUGCAUUAGUCGCUUUAAAUGAUCCACCAGCUCCUGAUUUGUUAUGCUGUGUGCUUCUUCAGUUAGAAAAGGAAGAGGCUCAGUUAGAGCUGCAGCGUAGGGAUGAGAUUAUUCAUCAGGUAGGAACAGAGGAUCAGUACUAGGCUAUGUCAAGAUUUUUUCUCAUGUAUAGGUCUUUCUCUUUGGAGUUCAAAAUUAAGAUUUGAUGGUUGUUGAUUGAAGCAUCACAUUUUUAUCUUAUUUUGAUAGAGAAACUUGCAGUUAAAGCAUUUGAAUGAAACUGUUGAAGAGAGUGCCAACAUCAUGAAGGUAAAGAUGUUUAUCCAUUUCUAUCUAAAAGAAUAUGUGUGUGUGUGUGUGUGUGUGUGUGUGUGUGUGUGUGUGUGUGUGUGUGUGUGUGUGUGUGUGUGUGUGUGUGUGUGUGUGUGUGUGUGUGUGUGUGUGUGUGUGUGUGUGUGGAAAAGACCUCUAAACUUGCAUUGUGAUAAAGGGGAUGUUUUUAACCUUGAAAAAAUGUAGGGAAAAAGAAAACAUACACUGAAUGUCUCAAGUCCAGUGUAGAAUUUGUCUAAAAGUCAAAAGAAUUCUAAAACAAAUCAGCAUUAUUUAAGCUGUAUACAGCUGUAAUCAUGUAAUGUAACUUGUUCAUCAUACGUAACUUAACCUAAGAUAGCGCAGAAAUUAUAGAGGUACAUUCACUCAAUGCAUUGGUAAAACAACAAGUGCUAUAAAAAGCUAGUCAAUGUUGACUAGUUACACAUGUACAGUUGCCCAUUUCACCAAAUUUGAAACAUGUGCAAACUUACAUCUGAAAUGUGAUUAUUUCUGUGUGACGAUACGUGACAAUGCAUUAGUCCCAAAAGAUUUGGAAAUGGACAGCAGUAUGAAAAAAUUUAGGUACUCAUUGUGCUUAAUUUGACCUGUAAUCACUUGUUAGGCAUGUCAAGAAUUAUUAUUUUUGAAAUAAGUGUGAGAGCAUCAGAGGAAGCCAAUUAAAAAUAUCAAAGUACCACCAGCUUGCAAUUACUCUGAUCUAAAAUGUCAUUAAAAAUGGGAAGCGAAGGGAAGUCUGAUAGUCAAGACGAUAUCUUGAAGACUGAAAAAAUGUUCAGAUAAAACUGCGUCUCUCCCGACCAGAAAGGAAAACAAGCCCCUUUCUAACUGCAUGGAUGCUGCUGAAAAGUUCAGCUGACACAUGAAUGGUGGUGCCCUGUUCCACUUGGUAGAACUGAUGCACAAACCAGAACUGCAUAGGAGAUUAAUCUGAAAGAACCCUUAUUUGCAACCUCUUCACAAAAUCUGACGUCUCUGUCAGUAAUAUACCCCAUCCGUUUAGGAAACAAUUGAACUCUUUAGCUGCAGUCAUCAAAGUUAUGUUUGGAGAUAAAAGUAACAGCAUGAAAAGAACGCUUUAACAACUGCAAGUGAAAAUGUUAUUCUGUGAGGUUGUGUGGCAGCCACUCGCACAAGUAGAACGAAGAAUGAAUCCCACUAAAUAUCUGCAAAUUCUGCAUGCAAAUGUUCAUCACGAAAGUGAAACUGAAAAGAGGAGAGUUUCUACAGCAGGGCAUUGAUCCAAAUCUGACAUUAAAAUCCACUUUAGGGAAUGUGAGCUGAAGGUUACCUCUCAUGACUAGAACAUCAUUGAAAAUCCGUGGGGAGAUCUUAAACGUGUUAUGCCUGCAAGACAACCUAGUAACAUCUCAGACUGUGAUCUGCACAGAAGAGUGGGUGAAAAUUGCUAAAUCAAUAAUAGAAAGGCUCUUAGCUGCUAUGAAGAGUGUUUGCUGCGGUAUCUGUCAAAGAGGGCCUUUGUAAGUGCUAACUGAACUUAUUCACAUUUGCUGCAUGAGUUUCAUUUUGAAGUUCUUGACAUAAAACAUCAAAGUGUGUUAACGUUUGCAGAAAGGCAGAUUAAUUCUUUUUUUUUUUGAUGCAGUGGUCAUGUUUACUUACUUUCCCUUAGAUCAUCAAACUAAAUAUGUAAUUUGCCCAGGGGAACAUAAAGUUUUGCAUUCUAUUGUGUCUGCAGUGCAAUAGUGGUAGUCAGUUGUAAAAUGUGAUUUUGCCCCCACUUGUAAUCUGUGCAUAAACAGUGCUCUGCAAUCGUUUGUGAAACUAGCCCCUGGCAACAAACCAACAUUGUCUCUGUUUACAUGCACUGCAUUCAUUCCUGUUUCUGUGCUCCAGGACCUCAGGCUGACAAACCAGGAGCUGAGGAAGCAGAUAGAGGGCAGACGAGACGAGGCCUAUUUGUAAACCUGACACACAGAUCUUCUUGCUUCAAAUAAAUGAGGAAGGUGAAGCUGAGGAGCUGCUGAAACCUCGUAGUGUCACAGCUGACUUUCAGACCAAAAGAUGUGCAGAUACUUCAAAGACAUCCGUCCAGAAAACAGGGCUGUUCACUGUGUGCAUCUUCAUUCUCACUGUUUUGGCCUUCUUGGCUUCAGGAAGUUGUUCAGGAAACGGUGACUUUUUUUCUAUCAACUCAUUGUGGAACAGUGCGUGCCUGAUGUUUCAUCCCUACUGCCGCAUCCACUACGGGGCCUUACCUCCCAUUUGACCUAAACACUCCCUCUCAUAAACAUGUCACGACUCUAUUAAUGUGCCUGAUUGUGGGUUGCUUUUGUGGUUGGCUUUGUUUUGUACACACAAGAAUGAAGGUUUUAUUUAAAAUACUUGAAUUUCUACAUGUGACUAGUUUGGCAAACUACAUUAACUAACCAGAGAAUAAUAAAAUGUCAAAUGACUAGUGACCAAUGUUCCCUCUAAUUUUCCAUGAGUCUGAGCAAACACACAAACUCCCUGAGCGUCCCUUGGACCACUGUGAGCAACAUCAGACGUGUGCACUGUGGUCACACCAGCAUCACAUCCAUUCAAG